rnacentral:lncRNA from 1 species
UCGAUUGGAUUCAAUGGGAUCCAACGCUUUUCAAUGGGGAGGAAGGGGGGGGGCUUCAAAGUCGGGCCCCCCCCCGGAUAGACGGAGACCCCCCCCCUCGUCUCAAUCCGACCCCAAUGUGUCUCUAUGGGCCGGGGGGGGGCGGGGGGGGCGGCUGCUGAGGCUGCAGUUGAAGGCGGAGGAGGCUGAGAGGCUGAUGGGGCUGUAUUACAGCCUGGGGGAGCACCUGCAGGUAACCAGCUGCCCCAUAGCUGCCCCAUAGCUGCCCCAUAAGUGCCCUAUAGAUGCCCCAUAGCUGCCCCGUAAGUGCCCUAUAGAUGCCCCAUAGCUGCCCCAUAAGUGCCCCAUAGCCACCCUAUAACUGCCCCAUAACCACCCCAUAGCCACCCUAUAACUGCCCCAUAGCUGCCCCAUAGCCACCCUAUAACUGCCUCACAGCCGCCCCAUAACUGACCCAUAGCAACCCCAUAGCAGCCCCAUAGCCGCCCCAUAGCCGCCCCAUAGCUGCCCUAUAGCUGCCCCAUAGCUGCCCCAAAAGUGCCCGAUAGCUGCCCCAUAGCCGCCCCAUAGCCGCCCCAUAGCUGCCCUAUAGCUGCCCCAUAGCUGCCCCAUAAGUGCCCCAUAGCUGCCCUAUAGCUGCCCCAUAGCUGCCCCAGAACCACCCCAUAACUCACUGAGGGGGGGUCCCACAUUGAGGGAGGGGGUUCCCAGAUUGGGGAGGGGUCCCAUAAUGGGGGGUGGGGGUCCCAUAUUAAGGGUGGGGGUCCCAUAAUGGGGAGGGGUCCCACAUUGAGUGGGGGGGUCCCACAUUAAAGGUGGGGGUCCCAUAAUGGGUGGGGGUCCCAUAAUGGGGAGGGGUCCCACAUUAAGGGUGGGGGUCCCAUAAUGGAUGGGGGGUCCCACAUUAAGGGUGGGGGUCCCAUAAUGGGGGGGGGUCCCACAUUAAUGGUGGGGGUCCCAUAAUGGGUGGGGGUCCCAUAUUAAGGGUGGGGGUCCCAUAAUGGAUGGGGGGUCCCACAUUAAGGGUGGGGGUCCCAUAAUGGGGGGGGGUCCCAUAUUAAGGGGGGGUCUCCCACAUUAAGGGUGGGGGUCCCAUAAUGGGGAGGGGUCCCACAUUAAGGGUGGGGGUCCCAUAUUAAGGGUGGGGGUCCCAUAAUGGGUGGGGGUCCCAUAAUAAGGGGGGGGCCCCACAUUAAGGGUGGGGGUCCCAUAAUGGGUGGGGGUCCCACAUUAAGGGUGGGGGUCCCAUAAUGGAUGGGGGU